UACAGCUUGGCACUGAACAUUGACCCUACAUGUGUAGGAUAGGUGGGAGGCUUUGAAGCACAGUCGCUAGAUUGUGUGGAGCCGACCUUGAAAUACCACCCUUGUAGUGUUGAUGUUCUAACUUAGGUCCCUAAUCGGGAUUGAGGACAGUGCCUGGUGGGUAGUUUGACUGGGGCGGUCUCCUCCCAAAGAGUAACGGAGGAGCACGAAGG
rnacentral:rRNA from 1 species